rnacentral:rRNA from 1 species
GGGGGGGGGGGGGGGGGGGGGGGGGGGGGGGGGGGGGGGGGGGGGGGGGGGGGGGGGGGUUACGAUUUUUACUUCCUCUAGACAGUCAAGUUCGCUCAUCUUUUCGGCGCACCGGCACGAGCCGACACGACAACAACAAGUGUCACGGAGGGCUUGUGCAGGGGAUGAUCCGAGGUUCUCACCAAACCAUCCGAUCAGUCGUAGCGACGGGCGGUGUGUACAAAGAGCAGGGACUUAAUCAACGCGAGCUGAUGACUCGCGCUUACUGGGAAUUCCUCGUUCGUGGGACACUGUCUCAAGCCCCAGUCCCCAUCACGGACGGGGCUCAGCGGUUUACCCGAGCCUGUCGGGGGGGGGGGGGGGGGGGGGGGGGGGGGGGGGGGGGGGGGGGGGGGGGGGGGGGGGGGGGGGGGGGGGGGGGGGGGGGGGGGGGGGGGGGGGGGGGGGGGGGGGGGGGGGGGGGGGGGGGGGGGGGGGGGGGGGGGGGGGGGGGGGGGGGGGGGGGGGGGGGGGGGGGGGGGGGGGGGGGGGGGUGGCGGGGUCUCGCUCGUUAUCGGAAUCAACCAGACGGAUCGCUCCACCAACUAAGAACGGCCAUGCACCACCACCCACAGAAUCGUGAAAGAGCUCUCAGUCUGUCAAUCCUUCUCGUGUCCGGCCCAGGUGAGCUUUGCAACCAUACUCCCCCCGGAACCCAGAAACUCCUGGUUUCCCUCAUGGCUGCCGGACGGGUCAUGCCAUUCGACGCCGCCCGAUCGCCGGUCGGCAUAGUUUACCGUCGAAACUAGGGCGGUAUCUGAUCGCCUUCGAGCCUCCGACCUUCGUUCUUGAUUAAGGAAAACAUUCUUGGCAAAUGCUUUCGCUUUAGUCCGUCUUGCGCCGGUCCCAGAAUUUCACCUCUCGCGGCGCAGUACGAAUGCCCCCGGCAGUCCCUCUCAAUCGGGGGGGGGGGGGGGGGGGGGGGGGGGGGGGGGGGGGGGGGGGGGGGGGCAAUCAUGACCUCCGUCCCGCAAAACCAACAAAAUAGGACCGAGGCCCUAUUCCAUUAUUCCCAGCUGCGGUGUACAGGCUCCACCGACCCACUCUGAGCACUCCAGUUUCCUCAAGGUAAACGCUUCCGGCCCACAACGGACACUCAUCCAAGAGCGUCCGCAGGGCUCCAACAUCCUGGCCCCCGGGGACGGGCGGGGACAGGAAGUGCGCCUCGUGGCACGUCCCCCAAUCCCCCCCCCCCGCGAGCCCCGCCGUGAUUUACAAAUACGAGCUUUUUAACUGCAACAGCGUUCGCUUACGCUGUUGGAGCUGGAAUUACCGCGGCUGCUGGCACCAGACUUGCCCUCCAAUGGAUCCUCGCACAUGGGUUUAAGGUGCACCCAUUCCGAUAGCAGCGCCUCGACCGAGGCCUGCAUCGGUAUUUUUCGUCACUACCUCACCGUGUCGGGAGUGGGUAAUUUGCGCGCCUGCUGCCUUCCUUGGAUGUGGUAGCCGUUUCUCAGGCUCCCUCUCCGGAAUCGAACCCUGAUUCCCCAUCACCCGAAGCCACCAUGGCAGGCGCGAGGCCUGCCAUCGAAAGUUGAUAGGGCAGACAUUCGAAUGAAACGUCGCCGGCGCAGAGGCCGAGCGAUCUGCCAUGGUUUAUCCAGAGUCACCAUCCCGUGGACGGGCCCACGCCGAGCCCCGAACCCUCCCCGAAGGACCUCACCCCACGAAGGGGAAAGGAAGGGAAGGUGGGUGGGCACAAGGUCGGUUUUUGGUGCUGAUAAAUGCGCGCCUCCCCACGACGUCAGGGAACCUUCACCCGUGGGGACCGGCGCUCGUUUGCAUGUAUUAGCUCUAGAAUUGCCACAGUUAUCCGAGUAACUUCCGAGCGCUCAAAGAGACCACAACUGAUUUAAUGAGCCAUUCACAGUCUGAACGGGUCCUUCCAUUCACACGGAGACAUGAAUGGCUUAAUCUUUGAGACAAGCAUAUGCGGCUGGCAGGAUCAACCAGGGAGCGGCGUGAGGAGCCGCUGCAAAGACCACGACACGCCGACCGUCACGCGCCACGUGGCACGUCGCACAUGGCACGUCGCACGUGCCGGGCCGGGGAGCACCGGGAGAACCGCGCG